GUCUCCGUGGCUUAGUAGGGAGAACAACCGACUAUGGUGCGGUAGAACUCGGGUUCGAGCUCCGGUGGAAGGCA